AGUCGAGGGGUAGUCUAGCAAUAGAUGAGACCGGCGCACGGGUGCGUAACGCGUAUGCAAUCUACCUUUUACAGAGGGAUAGCCCAGAGAAAUUUGGAUUAAUACCUCAUAGUAUAACGACUCGGCAUCGAGAUGUUAUUAAAGUUCCAACGGUAAAAGAUGAGCAUGCGUCCCAUUAGCUAGUUGGUGUGGUAACGGCGCACCAAGGCAACGAUGGGUAGGGGUCCUGAGAGGGAGAUCCCCCACACUGGUACUGAGACACGGACCAGACUCCUACGGGAGGCAGCAGUGAGGAAUAUUGGUCAAUGGGCGCAAGCCUGAACCAGCCAUGCCGCGUGCAGGAUGACGGUCCUAUGGAUUGUAAACUGCUUUUGUACAGGAAGAAACACUCCCUCGUGAGGGAGCUUGACGGUACUGUAAGAAUAAGGAUCGGCUAACUCCGUGCCAGCAGCCGCGGUAAUACGGAGGAUCCAAGCGUUAUCCGGAAUCAUUGGGUUUAAAGGGUCCGUAGGCGGGUUUAUAAGUCAGUGGUGAAAGCCCAUCGCUCAACGAUGGAACGGCCAUUGAUACUGUAGAUCUUGAAUUAUUAGGAAGUAACUAGAAUAUGUAGUGUAGCGGUGAAAUGCU
rnacentral:rRNA from 1 species